UUUAAUACUAUAUUGCUAAGGGAUAAUUAAAUGCUAUUUAUAUCUUUCUUACAAAAAUAGCACAUAACUGCCUACCAAUAGAUUGCUCUAAAAAAUGAGCUUUAUAUUUAGUUUGGGUUUGGCAAAUUGUAAUGUAUUAAUUAUUUCCCUAUUUUAGCAUGACUAGUUAAUUUGUUCUUAUCUCCAAACAUGUGGGCAUCCUAUAUAAAAGGCAUCCAUUGGCAUUACACUAACAUAUCAGAAUCUGUAGAGCAUAGUUCUAGCGGCUAUAACAAGAGAUGAGGACUACACAAAUUCUACUCUUAGGCCUUGCCCUCGUCCUUCUAUCCUCGGGCAUCAUGGAAACCAUCGAGGCACGUGGAGCCUGCUGCCCUCAGAUCGAAAAGGGGAAGUGUAAUAACAAUGAUUGUGCGACUUAUUGCAAGAUGGUGAAUGGUUGGGAAUGGGGUUGUGUCCCUGAGGGAUGCACGUGUGUAUCGUGCUGGAAAGAUCCACAAUGCUCAGGGCCAGAAGUACCACCACCUUCAAGACACUUGAUUUAACAUUUUCUUUCAUGCUUGUGGUAUUACCAUACAAAAAAAUAUGAGUCCCGAGUAGACAAAUAAUAUGUGUCAACUUUCAAGGUCUAUGUGAGCAAAGAGAAAUAGCAAGACAUAUGUCGAGAAUUUCUCGGUCA